rnacentral:rRNA from 1 species
GCCACCUGGGAACUUGAGACACGGCCCAGAUUCUAUGUAUGCAGCAGUGGGGAAAUUGCACAUCGGGCGAAAGGCUGAUGCAAGCGACGCCCGCCUGAGGGAUGACGACACGGUUGUAAACCUCUUCAGUAAGGAAGAAGCGAAAGUGAACGGUACUGCAGAAGAAGCACCGGGCUAACUACGUGCCAGCAGCCGCGGUAAUACGUAGGGUGCGAGCGUUAUUCCGGGAAUUAUUGGGCGUAAAGAGCUCGUAGGCGGGUUUGUCGCGUCUGUCGUGAAAGUCCCGGGGCUUAACCCCGGAUCUGCGGUGGGUACGGGCAGACUAGAGUGCAGUAGGGGAGACUGGAAUUCCUGGUGUAGCGGUGGAAUGCGCAGAUAUCAGGAGGAACACCGAUGGCGAAGGCAGGUCUCUGGGCUGUAACUGACGCUGAGGAGCGAAAGCAUGGGGAGCGAACAGGAUUAGAUACCCUGGUAGUCCAUGCCGUAAACGUUGGGCACUAGGUGUGGGGACCAUUCCACGGUUUUCGCGCCGCAGCUAACGCAUUAAGUGCCCCGCCUGGGGAGUACGGCCGCAAGGCUAAAACUCAAAGGAAUUGACGGGGGCCCGCACAAGCGGCGGAGCAUGCGGAUUAAUUCGAUGCAACGCGAAGAACCUUACCAAGGCUUGACAUGUUCUCGAUCGCCGUAGAGAUACGGUUUCCCCUUUGGGGCGGGAUCACAGGUGGUGCAUGGUUGUCGUCAGCUCGUGUCGUGAGAUGUUGGGUUAAGUCCCGCAACGAGCGCAACCCUCGUUCCAUGUUGCCAGCACGUCAUGGUGGGGACUCAUGGGAGACUGCCGGGGUCAACUCGGAGGAAGGUGGGGACGACGUCAAAUCAUCAUGCCCCUUAUGUCUUGGGCUUCACGCAUGCUACAAUGGCCGGUACAAUGGGUUGCG